rnacentral:rRNA from 1 species
UGGCGGACUGGUGAGUAACGCGUGAGCAACUGCCUAUUAGAGGGGAAUAACAGUGAGAAAUCAUUGCUAAUACCGCAUAUGCCAUAGAAACCACAUGGUUUUAGUGGGAAAGGAGUAAUCCGCUAAUAGAGUGGGCUCGCGUCUGAUUAGAUAGUUGGUGGGGUAACGGCCUACCAAGUCGACGAUCAGUAGCCGGACUGAGAGUUGAACGGCCACAUUGGGACUGAGAUACCGGCCCAGACUCCGUACGGGAGGCAGCAGGUACGGGAAUAUUGCGACAAGUGGAAGGAAACUCUGACGCAGUGACGCGCGUAUAGGAUGAAGGUCUUCGGAUUGUAAACUAUUGUCGUUAGGGAAGAGAAAGGACAGUACCUAAGGAGGAAGCUCCGGCUAACUACGUGCC